CGGGCGCAAACGCACUAGAAGGAAAGUCAAGUCGUGCUGGACUGGCGCGGUAUCCUCGCGCGGUUUACAACUGCAGAAAGGAGCCGAACCGUAAUUAAUCAUGCUUCUAAAAUAAUGACAAAUGCUGAUCGGGUUUUCUGCGAAGCAUGGCUUUCCUUUUAACUUGCUUCCUGGUGUUUUGUGUGGACAGUGUUUGGGGGAAUCAGCACAGUGAGACCAGCAUCUAUUUGGAUAACAUCACGCGCAUAUUGGAUAGAUUACUUGAUGGCUAUGACAACAGGCUGCGACCUGGAUUUGGAGGUCCUGUCACAGAGGUCAAAACUGAUAUCUUUGUCACCAGCUUUGGGCCCGUUUCAGAUGUUGAGAUGGAAUACACCAUGGAUGUGUUCUUUCGUCAGACAUGGAUUGACGAACGGCUAAAAUUUGAGGGUCCGAUUGAGAUCCUGCGGCUGAACAACCUGAUGGUCAGCAAAAUCUGGACGCCCGACACCUUUUUCCGAAAUGGCAAGAGGUCGAUAUCUCACAACAUGACCACCCCCAACAAGCUGUUCCGCAUCAUGCAGAACGGAACUAUCCUCUACACCAUGAGAUUAACUAUAAAUGCAGAGUGCCCCAUGCGCCUGAUGAACUUCCCGAUGGAUGGCCAUGCCUGCCCACUCAAGUUUGGAAGUUAUGCAUACCCCAUCAGUGAGAUUGUUUACACAUGGAAGAAAGGACCACUGUCCUCUGUUGAAGUGCCACAGGAAUCCUCAAGUUUGUUGCAGUAUGAUCUCAUUGGACAGACGGUUUCGAGUGAGAGGCUCAAGUCCAAUACAGGUGAAUACGUCAUCAUGACAGUUCACUUUCACCUUCAAAGGAAAAUGGGUUUCUUCUUGAUUCAGACCUACAUUCCCUGCAUAAUGACAGUCAUCCUGGCACAAGUGUCUUUCUGGAUUAACAAGGAAUCAGUUCCAGCUCGGACUGUGUUUGGUAUCACAACUGUCUUGACCAUGACAACGCUCAGCAUCAGUGCUCGCCACUCCCUCCCAAAAGUCUCCUACGCUACGGCAAUGGAUUGGUUCAUUGCCGUUUGCUUUGCCUUUGUCUUCUCCGCCCUCAUUGAGUUUGCGGCCGUCAAUUACUUCUCCACCCUUCAAGCCAACCGUGAGCUGCGGAAAGCUGCAGCCAYGAAGGCAGCUGCACAAGAAGCAGCYGCUGCAGCUGCAACUCCAGCUGCACCAACAGGAAACGAGGGAGAGGUUCCAUCAGUGGAUGCCAGUAGUGUGCUGAAGAAGCGAAUGAACUCUGCCCCACUUUUUGAGCGCCCUGCCAAAACGUUCCCCAACCCACCUGUUAAUGCCCAGGCUUUCCUGCAGCAAGGCUCAGCAGUACCAGCCAACAACGUUCUGACUGGCACCAGCAUCAUUGACAAAUACUCACGCAUCCUCUUUCCCCUUUCAUUUGGCGCCUUUAACCUGGUCUACUGGAUUGUCUAUCUCACCAAGGACACCAUGGAGAUGUCAAGGUGAACAGAUGGCAUGGCUAUCACAGCACAUUGUGGAGGUUAUUGCACUCAAAAAUAAGUGAGGGGAUGCUGUCUAAAAGUCUUCCAGGAAAACACUCAAACACAGCUAAGCUGCCCUCCUACCAGUACAUACAAAGACACAUGCUGUAUAUUUAAACAUUAAAAUAGAUGACAGACGCUUGCCACACACUCUUUUAUGGAGCCUCGGUGCAUUGUUUUCCCUUUUCAAGUUGUCUCUCAGAUUGUUUGUGUUUUGACAACAGAUGCACCCAGUUACCAACUUGACCAAGAAGCUCAAAGUCAUCUGGAGUCUCUGGAUCUGGACUGAUUAAAAAACAAAAGGAAAAAAAAAUAACUACUGCUAUUUUUUAAGAUUUAUUUAGAUAUUAAUUUACUGUAGGUCCUUAUUCCCUAAUGUUACAAAAAAGCUACAUGUUAGGGCUUUUUAUACAUGUAUAUUAUGUGUUACCUGAGUUGAUGGGGAAUCUAUUUGCCUAAAAAACUGCAAAGCCAAAAGUAGAAAAGCUACAUAAUGUUACCUUUGCACAGUAUGUAUUUUCUUUAUGUGUGCACAUGCUUCUGAUUUUAACUUUGUGGUAUAUUUUGUUUUUUAGAUAUAAGUAAACAUAAUCCCCAGUUAGGCAUACAAUGCACAUUUUAAUCUGACAAGAACUGAACCCAGUGGCUUCAUUUUAGAAUGUGAAUACUCAGAUUCUGUGUAGAAAAAAAUAAGAAAAUCCAGACUUACCUGUUUCAAACUAUUAAUAAGAAGUGUCAAAAAAUGAGUCUCCACAACUGAGGAAGGGUUAAUCUAUAUAUUUAGCCUUCAGAGAAAUACUGCCAGUCAUAAAUAAAUAAACACGUGUGGUGUCAAAACAGUUUUAUUACAUUUUCAAAAUGUGCAACAAGUAAACAUUUGACGAAAAAUAACAUAUGUUUCUAGUAUUUUAAUUUAUUUCCUGUCUAAAAUAAAAAUAAAUGGAACACAAUGAUUUUUGCUAAUUAGAAAGUUCAUUCAUUUAUUUUUUUUAAGCAACAACUAAACUUUGAUUGAAAGAUUCAUCACGAAUAUGAACUUUGUUAAGAAAAUUAUUCCAAGGUCUUGAUCAGUCAGUCCCAAUUUUCGACACUAAUGGCACAAGAGCUGCCAGGUAAAGUGCUCACCUGCAGGGAGCAGCUUGAGGUUUGAUGCUCAUGAGAAGUUGGUGACAAAUGAACAACUUUAUCCACUGAGCAGUACCCUUCACUACCUUCUCCAUCAUAGUCUAAUUAAGUCUGCAUAAUGCAAAAGUAAACAACAUGAAAAAAAAAUCAGCCACAGCAGAUAAGAAAAAUAAUUACAAUAUCUGCUGCCACCUCUUACUUAAGAGCCUGGCAAUAAUCCAGAUUGUUAUUUUUUAGUUUAUUUCCAUUUCCAGCAUUGGUUUAGUGAUUUAUGAACUAACACUUUUUACGUUAUUUUUAUUUAUUUUAUUUUACAUAAUUAAGUAGCCUAUUUGCAAUUGAAACUAAAAGAUUUUCAAGCUGUCUGCCAAUUAAUUAAUGAGAUGACAACCAUUGGCAGUGGUUUUCAUUUAAAAAUAGAGUAAAUUAAUUCUAUCAUCAUCAAAAUACUGUUUACAAAAUGCCCAAUUAUAUUUAUUUAUGAUACACUUAAAUGGAUUUGCAUGUUAUUAUACUAUUUUAUUUAAACAGAAAUGGUAACUUGUUAAAGCUAUGAGGUGACUAAAAAUAAGGUGUUUUUUUUUUCUCUGCCAUGAAUCACAAUAAAAAUCUUAAUAAACAUG